GACGAACGCUGGCGGCGUGCUUAACACAUGCAAGUCGAACGAAAAUACCAAGCUUGCUUGGUUGAUUAGUGGCGAACGGGUGAGUAACACGUGAGUAACCUGCCCCUUACUUUCCUGUAUAACUGCUCGAAAGGGUAGCUAAUACGGGAUAUUCUGCCCAGCCUGCAUGGGUUGGUUUGGAAUGGUUGUUUUUCUGGUAAGGGAUGGGCUCGCGGCCUAUCAGCUUGUUGGUGGGGUGAUGGCCUACCAAGGCUUUGACGGGUAGCCGGCCGGAGAGGGUGGAAGGUUACACUGGGAAUGAGAUACGGACCAGAAUCCUACGGGGGGCAGCAGUGGGGAAUAUUGCACAAUGGGCGCAAGCCUGAUGCAGCGACGCCGCGUGAGGGAUGAAGGCCUUCGGGGUGUAAACCUCUUUUGUAAGGGAAGAAGGCACUGAUUUUUUGGUGGUGUUGAGGGUACCUGGAGAAGAAGCGCCGGCUAACUACGUG
rnacentral:rRNA from 1 species